rfam:Pan troglodytes isolate Yerkes chimp pedigree #C0471 (Clint) chromosome 6, whole genome shotgun sequence.
AGCUUUGUGUACUGGCAAUAUCAUAACCAAUGAGGUUUAUCCAAGACAUGAUAAUUGCUAAUGGCAAACAGCAUAAAACCAACUGCCAAAAAAAUGCUUUGCGUCCCACAAGAACUAGAUAUAGACAAGUGCCAUUUUUGCUACACAGAAUGCUUU